rnacentral:lncRNA from 1 species
CUGCUUUGCUGCCAAAUACAGGAAGGCAAGAUCUGCAAUCUUCAAUCUAUUCCACUGCCAAAUACAGGGAGAUAGAGUUAUCGGCUUCAAUGUACUCCACUGUAGUCACAUGGAGGUAAAAUCUGCCAUCUUCGAUCUUCAAUCUAUUCCACUGCCAAAUACAGGGAGAUAGAGUUAUCGGCUUCAAUGUACUCCACUGUAGUCAGGGAGGUAAAAUCUACCAUCUUCGAUCUUCAAUCUAUUCCACUGCCAAAUACAGGGAGAUAGAGUUAUCGGCUUCAAUGUACUCCACUGUAGUCACAUGGAGGUAAAAUCUGCCAUCUUUGAUCUUCAAUCUAUUCCACUGCCAAAUACAGGGAGAUAGAGUUAUCGGCUUCAAUGUACUCCACUGUAGUCAGGGAGGUAAAAUCUGCCAUCUUUGAUCUGCUUCGCUGCCAAAUAUAGGAAGGCAAGAUCUGCAAUCUUCAAUCUAUUCCACUGCCAAAUACAGGGAGAUAGAGUUAUCGGCUUCAAUGUACUCCACUAUAGUCACAUGGAGGUAAAAUCUGCCAUCUUUGAUAUUCAAUCUAUUCCACUGCCAAAUACAGGGAGAUAGAGUUAUCGGCUUCAAUGUACUCUAUUGUAGUCAGGGAGGUAAAAUCUACCAUCUUCGAUCUUCAAUCUAUUCCACUGCCAAAUACAGGGAGAUAGAGUUAUCGGCUUCAAUGUACUCCACUGUAGUCACAUGGAGGUAAAAUCUGCCAUCUUUGAUCUUCAAUCUAUUCCACUGCCAAAUACAGGGAGAUAGAGUUAUCGGCUUCAAUGUACUCCACUGUAGUCAGGGAGGUAAAAUAUGCCAUCUUUGAUCUGCUUCGCUGCCAAAUACAGGAAGGCAAGAUCUGCAAUCUUCAAUCUAUUCCACUGCCAAAUACAGGGAGAUAGAGUUAUCGGCUUCAAUGUACUCCACUAUAGUCACAUGGAGGUAAAAUCUGCCAUCUUUGAUCUUCAAUCUAUUCCACUGCCAAAUACAGGGAGAUAGAGUUAUCGGCUUCAAUGUACUCCAUUGUAGUCAGGGAGGUAAAAUCUACCAUCUUCGAUCUUCAAUCUAUUCCACUGCCAAAUACAGGGAGAUAGAGUUAUCGGCUUCAAUGUACUCCACUGUAGUCACAUGGAGGUAAAAUCUGCCAUCUUUGAUCUUCAAUCUAUUCCACUGCCAAAUACAGGGAGAUAGAGUUAUCGGCUUCAAUGUACUCCACUGUAGUCAGGGAGGUAAAAUCUGCCAUCUUUGAUCUGCUUCGCUGCCAAAUACAGGAAGGCAAGAUCUGCAAUCUUCAAUCUAUUCCACUGCCAAAUAUAAGGAGAUAGAGUUAUCGGCUUCAAUGUACUCCACUAUAGUCACAUGGAGGUAAAAUCUGCCAUCUUUGAUCUUCAAUCUAUUCCACUGCCAAAUGCAGGGAGAUAGAGUUAUCGGCUUUAAUGUACUCCACUGUAGUCAAGGAGGUAAAAUCUGCCAUCUUUGAUCUGCUUCGCUGCCAAAUACAGGAAGGCAAGAUCUGCAAUCUUCAACCUGCUCUGCUACAAACGAGAGAGGCAAGGUUUGUCUUCGAUCUGCUUCGCUGUCAAUGCAGGAAGGCAAGAUUUGCUAUCUUCAACCAGCUCUGCUACAAACGAGAGAGGCAAGGUUUGUCUUUGAUUUUUACUGAUCUGUUCUCUAGGGAACAUGACCUGUAUAAUGAACCUAAUUAUGCCUAAUGAUUAGGAUGGCAUGAUCAGAAUGGAUCAAAUGUUCCUAACUAGAUGUGCGUGAAUGACAUUUGAAUGAAUGCAGAAUGUCAUGAAAAUGAUUCCUUAAUGCUUAGGUUAUCAUCGCUCAAAAGCUUAUUAAGGCUUUAUCACUAACGUGUCGCAACGCCUUCUUGACCAGCCGGCAUUUC